rnacentral:rRNA from 1 species
GUGCCAGCCGCCGCGGUAAUACGGAGGGUGCGAGCGUUGUCCGGAAUCACUGGGCGUAAAGGGCGCGUAGGUGGUCGGGUAAGCGUGUGGUGAAAGCUCGGGGCUCAACCCCGAGUCGGCCAUGCGAACUGCUCGACUUGAGCACUGUAGAGGCAGACGGAAUUCCGGGUGUAGCGGUGGAAUGCGUAGAGAUCCGGAAGAACACCGGUGGCGAAGGCGGUCUGCUGGGCAGUUGCUGACACUGAGGCGCGACAGCGUGGGGAGCAAACAGGAUUAGAAACCCCCGUAGUCC